ACAAGUACCGUGAGGGAAAGUUGCAAAGCACUUUGAAGAGAGAGUUAAACAGGACGUGAAACCGAUGAGGUGGGAACGGACAGAGUCGGCGUAUCUAGCCUGUAUUCAACUGGAGACCCAAGCACAUUGGGUAGGCCUUUUCCAGAUUGGACUGGUGAUCCAACUGUGUCGGGGUCUACAGUGCAUUUGCAAGUGGAGUGCGCUGAGGUGGUCGGGUUAGCUGCGUGAUCUCGGGUUUGAGGCCAGCCCCUCGGGGUAUGGUACCCGGCUCGGGGGAGUGCUGUUUAGCCUGUUCAACUUGUAUGGAAAUGGUAUCGGGUCCGGCUGGUAUCCAGCUAGCAACUGGUGGCGGUCGCAUGCGACACGUACUAGUGGUUGGUUGGGUCCUGGUCUGGCUCCCAUGUUUUCCAAUCCUCGGUGUAAAAACCGGUCAUCUGUCCGACCCGUCUUGAAACACGGACCAAGGAGUUUAGCGUGUGCGCGAGUCAUUGGGUGUUGGAAACUCAAAGGCGCAAUGAAAGUGAAGGUCUCUCUUGUGGAGCUGAUGUGUGACCCGGAUCACCGAGGUGGCCCGGAGCAACAUGGUCCCGUCCUGAUCGCUUGCGAUGGGGCGGAGACAGAGCGUACGCGCUGAGACCCGAAAGAUGGUGAACUAUUCCUGAGCAGGACGAAGCCAGAGGAAACUCUGGUGGAAGUCCGAAGCGAUUCUGACGUGCAAAUCGAUCGUCUGACUUGGGUAUAGGGGCGAAAGACUAAUCGAACCAUCUAGUAGCUGGUUCCUUCCGA
rnacentral:rRNA from 1 species